UGUGGUCCACCUAGUCCAACAAUGGCUGUCUGCUAACAGAAAGUCCAAGAAUCCAGUAGUUGUUGUUCAGCCCACCAGUCCGGACGUCUUUAAUAUAUGCUAGAAUCCUGAAGAAACAGGCUUUAAUGCCAGUGAAAGAAUGGACUUGCCAUCAACAACAAGGCAGGCAAAGAGCAAAGCUUCCUUCUUCCAUGUCCUUUAUUUAUGUGGGCUGCCCGAAGAAGAUGUGGCCCGGAUUAAAGGUGGAUCUUCCCACCUCAAACGAUGUGGACUAAAGGUGGGUUUUCCCUCUUCAAAUGAUUUAAUUAAGACAAUUUCCUCACAGGUGUGUGAAGUCACUUGGAUUAGUUAAUUCCAGAUGUUGUCAAGGUGACAACCAAAAAUAGCCAUUUCCUACAGUGAGCAGGUGUGCUGGGUUGUCCUUUCCCCGUGUGCUUCAGACACUCUCUCUGGUUUUUCAAGACAGGGUUUCUCUGUGUAAUAGCCCUGGCUGUCCUAGACUCGUUUUAUAGACCAGGCUUGCUUUGAACUCACAGAGAUCCACCUGCCUCUGCCUCCCAAGUGCUGGGAUUAAAGACAUGCAUCACCAUGCCUGGCCCAGCUACUUUGUUUAAGAAAUUUUAUUUUGGAAUUAUUUUAUUAUUGUUGUUUUUUAAUGUGUGCAGAUGUUUUGCCUGCACUUACCAUGAUAUGCACCACUUAUAUGCCUGUUGCAUUCAGAGGCCAGACGAGAAUAUUAGAUCCCUUGGAACUGAAACUAGAUAGGGUUGUGAGCUGCCAUGUAGGUGCUGGAACUUGAACCUAGCUCUUCUGGAAGAAGAGCCAAUGCUAUUGACUGCUGAGCUAUCUCUCUAGCUAUCUCUACCCAGAAAAUAUUUAUCUUGAUAGCUCCUGUUUAAGUCAGAUCAUUGUAUGUGCAGUUCCAAAUUUGGUGAAAACUCAUCAGGCUGUUUUAAAAGUGGAAUCAAUGUGGAAUGAGAAAUAGACAUCUCUCUCUCUCUCUCUCUCUCUCUCUCUCUCUCUCUUUUCUUUUGCCAACAGUGUUGGCAAUGGAUGAGGUAGCACAUGUCUAUAAGCCCAGCAUUUGGGAGGCUGAGGCAGGAGGAUGGAAUUUGGGGCCAGCCAGACUUGGCUAUGCAGCAAGACAGUUUCUCAGAAAGCAACAGGAAGCAUAUACAAGAAGGCUUGCUGGAUGACCUUGCUGGUUCUAUAAGCUGUCAUAUGUCAGUACUGGUCCCUAAAUAGUCCUUGAUACAAAACAGGAGGGAGAACCUGCUCUGGGACAGCCAGACAAGAGUGAAUGGAUUCUUGUGUUAAUUAACUUGAUCAACAAACGGCCCUUGACCACCAGCUUCAUUACAAACUCUCGGUUUCCUUCUGUAUCAAAUAUAAAACUGAUGUUUUAGGUAAAAAACAGGCAGUCAACUGGGAACACCUCUGUCAAAUUUUGCCUUUUCCAUUACUGCUAAAUCGUUAACUUUAAAAGCAGGUUUUUAUUGGUCCAGUGUGGUGCACAUACCACUAAUCCCAGCACACAGGAGGGAAUCAGAGGCAGGAGGAUCGGUGUGAGUGCAAUCCAGCCCAGCCAGAACUGUUACACUAUUUAUUUUAUUGAUGUGUGGGCAUGCAGAGGUCAGUGCUCGCCCACCCACCAUGUGGGCUCCAGGGACUGCAUCUGGUGUUAGACUUCUGCCCCAGUCAUCUUGCUGACCAUGGUUCUAGUUUGUGUUUUCCUGGUUCCUCCCAUGGAGACUAAAAUAUGCACGUGUAUAGUUUUUACAUAGCUCCCUUUUCUCUGGUUUGUUUGCUCACUGUAGUUUAGUUGCCGAGUUAUUGCUCUACAUUGUUUUUUAUGUAUUGUUUGGAUUAUUGACCCUGUCAGUAGUGCAAUGCAAAUAUCCUCUCCAGGCUCCAGACUGUUCCGUAUUGUGGGCGACUAUGGGUUACAGUCUGGUUUUGAGGGUAGGCAAGAGUGGUAAUUCAGAAAGUUGAAGGUUUUCAGAUUAUGCAAAGGGAGGAAAUGAGGUAAGAAUGCUUGGGGUCCUGAGGUUACCAGACAUGCCCUUGUUUCUUAUGAAGCUGCCUGAAAGCCUGUGGCUCAAGGUUGCUCCAGCCCAGGGUGUGGGACCCAGGUGUAUCAUCCUUCUUAGAAGACGGUGACGCCCUCCAUUUGGAAGCUGUUACUUAGGCCCAGAGUUCCUAUACCGGAUAACAGGACAGCCUUCCAGUGUCUGUGUCAGUGACCAGCUAGCCUGUAUGACUCUCGGAUUCUAGUCCUCCAGAGCUAAUCCAGGACCCUUAAACUGUAUGUAACUGCAUUUCAGUUUUCUUUUAUAACAAUUUAAACAUUUUUCCUUUAUUUCAUUUUAUAUGAAUGGGUGUUUUGCCUGCGUGUAUGUCUGUGUACUGUGUGACUUUGUGCUUACCCAGUGCCAGGGAAGCCAGAAGAGGACAACAGAUCUCUGAGACUGGACUUAUGGUUGGUUAUUAGCCACCCUGAGGGUGCUAGGAACAAAACCUACUAGGUUCUCCAUAGGUGUCUAGUGUACUUAACAUCUGAGCCAUCUCUCUAGCCCCUUUAUAAUGAUUUUUUUUUUCUGGCCUGCUGGCUCAAACCUCCUGAAUCCACAGUUCUUAAUGAUGUACAUAAUUUUUUUCAUAGUGAAUAUUCUUGUUCUUACUUACCUCGGUGGUUUUCUCCCAGGUGUCUCAUGCUUCCCUUACUAUUCUUCAAGGUUCACUUAAUCUUCCUUGAACUGUAAACUGGCCUUCAAUUCUGUAGCUCACAUUUAUCAGCACUUAUGGGCAGAGCCAUAGACUACCUCAGCUAAGCUCACAGGUCCUCUGUGUUUCUGUCAUCUGCCGGAUACUAUUUCAACUUCUUGGGGACAGAGAAAGUCCCUAUAACUCCUUUGUUAAUAGCAUGUCAACUGUUUAAAGGGUACAUAGAACCCUCUUUUUUUUUUUCAACACUCUACAACUUACAAAAUUCUUUGUUUCCAGUCAGACAUGGUGGUGCACACCAGUAAUCACAGUGCUAGAAAGCCAGUGGCAGGAGGAAUAUUAGUUUUGAGGCCAAUAUAGGCAACUGUUUUCUCUUGAGUUUGCUAUGGGUGGAGGUAGGGCUGGAAGUAUCCACAUUUUGAAAGAGCAGUCUAGGCAGCUGGGCCAGUUUUGUACAUGGUGGAUGAAUGCCAUCUCUGCUGAGUAAAAUAGACAUAGCUGUCUAGGUUUGAGCCCAAGUCACACUGACAUGUGAGAAGAGAGUUAAAGGACUUUAGCAGCCGACCUUAACCAUAGACACAUGUAGACUGUAGAAGCACUGUGCGAGUACUAGGUGGUUUGGGGGUGGUAAAUCCGAGCAGUGAUGUGCUGCUUUCCUCUUCAGACAUGUAGUGUACCCAAAGGUAUUGCAUAACUCAGAAAUCCCAGAACCCCAGAAGAGGGGGAGGCAGGAAAAUCAAGAAAGCAAGGGCAGCCUGGGCUAUAUGAGACUCUGUCAAAAGGCAAGCAAACAAAAAAAUGUGUAAUGCCAUUUUGAGUGUAACCCAGUUUCAGUGGCCCCAAUAACUCUUUCCUAAGACUUGCACGUUUACUCAAGGGCCAUUUAAAGCCAGAAUUAAAUCCUUUUUCUACAGUCAAAAAAGGCUGUUCUGACUGUUGGCUGCUCCUUAAACUCAAAAGAAGCCUGAUGACAUACUUAAGCUUAGCUCCAUAUGGUGACUUUGUUGUGUUUUCAUAUGUUGUAUGCACAGAUGGUUGGAAAAUAAAUUCCCUGCCUCCCACCUCAGCUGGUGUCCCCAGCACCUUCUGGUCCAGGAGCAGGGUGAUGAAGCAUCAGAAGUACUCACUCAUUCAUUACCUUUGCAGAGCUGGGCUUGGGCUAAUUAAUUAGCCUCAGGCAGAAAGCCAUAGCCUUGAGCAAGUACAGGAAGAAGUUGGGGCUCAGUGUCUAGCAGCUAUUACUACUGUGUGAUCACCCACAAGGGCUACGUGCCAGGGACAUUCUCAGCGAGCAAACGAUUGUGGAUGUCUCCUCAGUUUGCAGUUUGCAGUUAGUAUCUGUGAUGUGCCCAGAGUACACGGUGUGGCACUUAGUUCCAGAUUUUCAAAUCUCUGUGGUAUCAGGAGGUGGGCAGUGGAUUUCCAGGCUUAUGCUUUCAGGUGUGGUUUGGGAAGAGAAGGCAAGUUGGUCCAGUGCCUUCAUUGGAAAGUAAGUGCCUGGCUUGCCCACCAGUCAGGCUCUUCUGUGUUUCCACAGGAGCCAUGCCCUUUGGGGAUAGCUGCACUGUUUUUUUUCAUACUCUGAAGUAGUUGAUUUUUAUAUCCACUCUGUAAUAAUGGUGGUUUAUUAUACUGGCUAAAUGAAAUUAAACACUGCAUUUCUCAUUUCUUGGAAAUAGAGUGCUGAACUCACUCCAGAGAAGCCCAGACACUGAAAAUAGCUUUUCUUUGUGAAGCAGUAACCAUGGUGCCUGAAUCUGAAUCUGAAUUGGUUUCAAAUAUAAAGCUUUGUUUUAUGGGGGAGGGAGAGAAGCUGGCCAUUGCUACCAACUGGCUGGCCCCUGUUCUGGAGGCAUGCUCCUGUCUCCAGACUGAGACUAGAUGCCUCCGUCUCCUUCCUGUCCACCCUUCUCUGCAUGGCUCACUCUUGCUUCCUGUGUUAGAAGGACAGUUGCCCCUUGCUUGUUCCCCACUGCCUUCUUCAAGUAUUUAAACUUGUACGUAAGAUCCCACUUUGUCUCUGGUAAAAUAAUGCAGCAUAAACCAGGCUGUAGCAUGGCUCUCAGCCCUCUGUCCUUUUUGCUGAGUCAGCUUGCCUACAGCCCACCUGCCAACCCUGAAAUGCCCAGGUACUUAGUUCUGGAGGACUGUACUCCAAUGGUAGCCAAGACCUCCUGCCCAGGCCUCACUCUCCUUCCAGCUCUGGUCUGACUUACAGAGCUCUGACACAUAUCUCGGGCUAGCAGCCUCUGGUCUGUGAGGACACCAGCCAGCCUGACUCCUUGAGAACCACACAAUGAAAUGGUCUAUGUGCUAUGACAAUAGCCCAGCUCUGACUCCCACUUGGGACCUCAUAUGGAGAUGUUCCAUCUGCCGUAAUAUCGUGCUCUGACUCUCCUUUGAGAAGUCACAUGGGGGUGGUCCAUCUUCCACAAUAGAAGCCAGCUCUGACUCCUCUUUGAGUCGUGUUCUUACAUAGUUCCACCCCUGCUUUCUAUUAAGUUGUGGUUCUCAAGCUGUGGGAUCAGCUGCCUAGCUGGUCUUUUGUUGUGACUGUUUGAUUUUGUGAUCCAAUGAGUUUAAUUAGGGUUACUUACCAGUAGCUAUCACCAGUGAGGAAAAUCAGUCUCUAUUUCUGUCUUUUUGUCUCUGUCUCUGCCACCCACCCCCAGCAAACACUGACCGACCUUGGGUGGUGGUGUUUCAUGAGUCCUUCCCUCUGACUGUGGCUGGAUUUGAGGCAUUGGAAACCUAGGUGGAAUUGGAGGGCAGAUCCUGGUAAAAGCAGGAUCCAAGGAAAUCUUGCAAGAGCCCAGGCACCCUGGUUACUUGGACCAGGUUCUUGAGGUUCAUCUGAACAUGGACCUGACUCAGCUGCUGUUCAGCUUUUUCGGAUGUCACUGCGAGGUUGAUCCAUCACUGGGAAUCCUUGUGGGUCCCCAUCACUACAGCAGACAACCUAGCUUCAGACUAGCCCAGGGAAGGCUCCAAACCCAUGUGUCCUCUAUCAGGGAAGGAUUUCGAAACUGGCCGUCCAUACCAAGGCUGCAUGAAGUUUAAGAGGAAGCAGUUUCUGAGAGGGGCAGAUGCUUUUAGGAAGAAUGGAACUCUAUAUAGGUCAGCCAUAUUUCAUGGGAGGAAAGAGACCUCAUGUCCCAACUGGGUUGGGGUAUGUCUAAUCAUGUUCCCAAAGCUGCAUGGAAUAGGUUCACUCAGCAAAUGUUAGAAUGCUGUUUUUAGAGAUUUGUACUCAUCAUAUUUAGGCAGGAGUGAGUAGGUGGUAAGGGCAAAGGAUCUAUGGUGGAAAUUAUAAACCUCCCAUAUAUGCUGCAGCAGGGUGUGUUAAGGUCAAAAAGAAAUAUAAGGAUUAAAAAAAUAAACCAAGAGCACUAAAAACAGAGACAGUUGUACUUGCAUCUGGGUAUGAACCAUCCAGGUGGACCAUAAGAGACCAUUUGGCUCCAAGAAACAAGGCCACUGAUAACAGGUUGGCUGGCUAGCUUUCAUAAGACCUUUCUCCUUUGGGAGAUACAUGGUAGAUAUUGUUGCUUAUUACAUAUUCUUGCUUUUAACGCAUUGCUUCUAAUGCAGCUAAUUGUAAUAGCCUGAGGUGUAGUAAGGAGGGGUUAUAACAAGCCAGCCCAAUUUCAGGAAAGAGAUCCCAAACUAUAAUGAAGACAAGGCAAUAACCAAGAACACCGCAGCUGCUUCUUGGUAGCUGUGAGAAUAAAGAGAGUUUAAUAUCAUGAACAGCACUUGGGACACCCAGAAGGUAAGAGAUAGCAACACCAGCUGGCGACUGACCAAUGGCCAGCCAGUCAAGACGAAGACUAGCACAGUCAUGGAUCGAAGUUAACAGUUAGCAAGACACCCGAAAAAUGGGAAGGAAGUGACCCUGACCAAAGUAACUGGCAGCUUAACAGAUAGUCAUGGUCAGUAAGCCCAAAUUAAAGGUGGACAGGUGGCCCUCAACUACCCUUAACUGGGGGCAAUGCAUGGAUAUCAGAUGAUUGCCUUAUUGGUUGGCCCAGGGGGACAUGCUGUGAGUAUGUGGGCCUUCCCCUGGUUUUGCCCAUGAUAACCCAGAGUUAACCAUUCUCAACAGAGAUCUCCUCAGUUUUUUUGUCCAGUUUCUGUCCAUUGCCUUAUAAGAUUCUGGGCAAAGAAAAUGGUUCUUCUGUCUUGGAAACUCCAGCCUCUCUCUUGAGAGUUUCUUCUCACUUUUUCUUAAGUUCUUGAUUGUUCUAUGAUAAUUCUUAAUAAAGCCUGCUCCCACCUUACAUACUUCCA